rnacentral:lncRNA from 1 species
UCCUACCUUCAGGUCGACGUCGAAUGAAUCUGUCGAGCCGAUCUCAUCUGAUGAGCUCCUUGAUCUCAUCUCAGAGCUGAAUGCACUCCUCCGUGUCAUGGCCGUGGUCAUGAUGAUAAAGGUAGAACUUGUUAGGGUUGCGCUUCCCGGGGUAUGUGUGCAUCCUUUCCGACCUCGGCAGCUGCUCCCUGACCUCCAUUAGCAUUUGGAUUUUCGAUGCAUUGAGAGGGGCAUAGCUGCGGAAU